AUUGAACGCUGGCGGCAGGCCUAACACAUGCAAGUCGAGCGGAGCGGCGGACGGGUGAGUAAUGCCUAGGAAUCUGCCUGGUAGUGGGGGAUAACGUCCGGAAACGGGCGCUAAUACCGCAUACUAUCAGAUGAGCCUAGGUCGGAUUGGCUAGUUGGUGGGGUAAAGGCCUACCAAGGCGACGAUCCGUAACUGGUCUGAGAGGAUGAUCAGUCACACGGGAACUGGGAAACGGUCCAGACUCCUCCGGGAGGCGGCAGUGGGGAAUAUUGGACAAGGGGGGAAAGCCUGAUCAGGCCAUGCCGGUGGUGUGAAGAAGGUCUUCGGAUGUUAAAGCACUUUAAGUUGGAAGGCGUUACCAACAGAAUAAGCACCGGCUAACUUCGUGCCAGCAGCCGCGGUAAUUC
rnacentral:rRNA from 1 species